GACGAACGCUGGCGGCGUGCUUAACACAUGCAAGUCGAGCGGUAAGGCCCUUUCGGGGGUACACGAGCGGCGAACGGGUGGGUAACACGUGGGUGACCUGCCCUCAGCUCUGGGAUAAGCCUGGGAAACCGGGUCUAAUACUGGAUAUGACUCCAUGACGCAUGUUGUGGGGUGGAAAGCCUUGUGCGGCUGAGGAUGGGCCCGCGGCCUAUCAGCUUGUUGGUGGGGUGAGGCCUACCAAGGCGACGACGGGUAGCCGGCCUGAGAGGGCGACCGGCCACACUGGGACUGAGACACGGCCCAGACUCCUACGGGAGGCAGCAGUGGGGAAUCUUGCGCAAUGGGCGAAAGCCUGACGCAGCGACGCCGCGUGAGGGAU
rnacentral:rRNA from 1 species